UAUCUACACCAUAUCACCCUGAACACGCCCAAUCCUGUCUGAUCUCAGAAGCUAAGCAGGGUCGGGCCUGGUUAGUACUUAGAUAGGAAAAAUGUACACUGCUGAAUUAUAUAU
ensembl:rRNA 5S_rRNA 5S ribosomal RNA